rnacentral:lncRNA from 1 species
UGUGAAUCGAAACUUCUGAAGCAAUCCUAAGGCGGCCUGCAAAUAGAAGUUGAAACAAGACAAGGGGCAGGGGAUGGGAAGAGAAUAAAGAAG